UACGUAGGGCGCAAGCGUUGUCCGGAAUUAUUGGGCGUAAAGAGCUCGUAGGCGGUCUGUUGCGUCAGGAGUGAAAACUCGGGGCUUAACCCCGAGCCUGCUUCUGAUACGGGCAGACUAGAGGUAUGCAGGGGAGAACGGAAUUCCUGGUGUAGCGGUGAAAUGCGCAGAUAUCAGGAGGAACACCGGUGGCGAAGGCGGGUCUCUGGGCCGAUACUGACGCUGAGGAGCGAAAGCGUGGGGAGCGAACAGG
rnacentral:rRNA from 1 species